rnacentral:siRNA from 1 species
UAAAGUGAUGACAAAUGGAUGCUC